GAUGAACGCUGGCGGCGUGCCUAAUACAUGCAAGUCGAGCGAACGGACUAGAAGCUUGCUUCUCUGAUGUUAGCGGCGGACGGGUGAGUAACACGUGGAUAACCUACCUAUAAGACUGGGAUAAAUUCGGGAAACCGUAGCUAAUACCGGAUAAUAUUUUGAACCGCAUGGUUCAAAAGUGAAAGACGGUCUUGCUGUCACUUCUAGAUGGAUCCGCGCUGCAUUAGCUAGUUGGUAAGGUAACGGCUUACCAAGGCAACGAUGCAUGGCCGACCUGAGAGGGGGAGAGGCCACCCUGGAACUGAGACCCGCUCCAGACUCCUACGGGAGGCAGCAGUAGGGAAUCUUCCGCAGUGGGCGAAAGCCUGACGGAGCAACGCCGCGUGAGUGAUGAAGGUCUUCGGAUCGUAAAACUCUGUUAUUAGGGAAGAACAUAUGUGUAAGUAACUGUGCACAUCUUGACGGUACCUAAUCAGAAAGCCACGGCUAACUACGUG
rnacentral:rRNA from 1 species